rnacentral:lncRNA from 1 species
UCAUAGUCUCUUAAUAACCAUGAGUAGUCCUAAAAGCUCAAUGCCAUAAAAGUAAGUUUUAUCAAUCAAUAUCAAAUUGUUAUUGAAAAAUCUAGAUAUAAAAAGAUCAGAUAUCAAGGUCAAAUCCCAUGAUGAUGUUACUUUCUAUGUUUUAUCAACACCUCAACAAAAAAAUAUAGCUAUCAUCCUGAGCUAGACUAUGAUAUCAAGUUUUGUAUAAUAUUUAGCAAAAUAAUAAUGAGCUUGUGCAUAUUCUAAACAUGAAUCUUGACUUGUAGCUUCAGUCUUUAAAACCUGUAAGUACAAAAGAUUAAAAAAAUGAUAAAUAACUAUUGGUAAAAUAACAUAUAUAAUUUGAAAUGAGCAACAGUUAAAUCGCUUACCCCAAAAGCAGUCUAAAUUCACCAGGUGUUAUCCAGCAACAUCAACAAGGCUACAAGAAUAUAAGAAAAAUUAAUUAGAAAAGCUUUGGGUUGAUUAAUCUUACUUUGGUUCGAUAAAUCUCGGUACGACAAAGAAACUAUGAUGUAGGUACAAGAAAGAAACUAUGAUCCUAGGAACAUAACUGUCUUGGGUACACAACUACAUGUGUUUAUAGCUUAUCGGGUGGGACAUUCAAAAUAGGGUAGGACUCUAUAUGACGCAUUGUAUAAACUUGGUAUUUUUAAUCAUAAGAGAACCAUAUCAUCUACCUCUACUGAGCACAGACAUCACCAGCUAUGUACGGAACAAACAAGACAUACAACAAAUAAACGGGACAUUCAAAAUCAUGUUCUACCAAUAUAAUUCAAAAUACACCACAAAGAAAUUAUCCGUGAGCAUCUGUAAUUUUGGAGAAUUCAUAAAUCAGAUGAGUACUCUAUCAUAAACAGCCCUGACUCGAAUGAACCAUUGGUUGUUGGACUUUUCAAUGCACAUGAUACUUGGAUUACAACAAUCAGUUGGGGAUGUUCAUUUCUGAUGCUUCAGAUCCUCUGCUUUUAUUGUCUACUGGAUGUUCCGAUAUGCAGCUCCAUCUAUCGUGUUACAAGUUGUGACACUAUAAUUUGUUUGUCAUUUUGUAUGUUGGAAAGCAUUUAUUUUAAAAGCAAGUGGUCCUCCCUUCCCACAACUUGUCACUUGUAUGAUUUUGAUUUGAAAUUCUGGACUACUGGGGACCUUGUGUAUAAUGUGGAUAGAUGGUCUUUCUUUUACGAUUUGGAUAUUUAUGACAAUCUUCUCAUUUUAUGAUGUUGUUCGAGUCAGCUUGUAUGUACCUUGACUAUUUUACUAGAUAUCUG